UCACUUAAGGUAAGCUAAUCCAACCUUUCUUUUUAGUAUAGAUGAUGGAUUUAGGGUAGAAAUGGAUGAGAUUAUAUGAAGAAAUUGGAAAAAAUUUCAUGAAUAGGAAGAGAGGGAAUUUCGACCAGCAUGUGUGGGGGUGUGAUUUGCAUGGUUUGAUUGAAUUAGAGGGGAAUAUGAACAUCAAGGAGUUGAAUGAUUAUGGUUAUAUGCUUUGAAUUAGCUAAAUGCAACAAAUUGGUGAACUAGGGUUUUGGAC
rnacentral:misc_RNA from 1 species